rnacentral:rRNA from 1 species
ACGGUUUAAAUAACCGGUGAAGAAAGGGCCGGGCAAGACCGGUGCCAGCCGCCGCGGUAAUACCGGCGGCUCGAGUGGUGGCCACUAUUACUGGGCUUAAAGCGUUCGUAGCUGGUUUGUUAAGUCUCUGGGGAAAUCUUCCGGCUUAACCGGAAGGCGUCUCAGGGAUACUGGCAGACUAGGGACCGGGAGAGGUGAGGGGUACUCCAGGGGUAGGAGUGAAAUCCUGUAAUCCUUGGGGGACCACCUGUGGCGAAGGCGCCUCACCAGAACGGCUCCGACAGUGAGGGACGAAAGCUGGGGGAGCAAACCGAAUUAGAUACCCGGGUAGUCCCAGCUGUAAACGAUGUGCGUUAGGUGUAUCAGUGACCACGAGUCACUGAGGUGCCGAAGAGAAAUCGUGAAACGUACCGCCUGGGAAGUACGGUCGCAAGGCUGAAACUUAAAGGAAUUGGCGGGGGAGCACCACAACGGGUGGAGCCUGCGGUUUAAUCGGACUCAACGCCGGGAAACUCACCAGAUAAGACAGCUGAAUGAUUGUCGGGCUGAAGACUCUACAUGACUAGCUGAGAGGAGGUGCAUGGCCGUCGUCAGUUCGUACUGUGAAGCAUCCUGUUAAGUCAGGCAACGAGCGAGACCCACGCCAACAGUUGCCAGCUCGUCCUCCGGGAUGGAGGGGACACUGUUGGGACCGCCUCUGCUAAAGAGGAGGAAGGAAUGGGCAACGGUAGGUCAGCAUGCCCCGAAUUAUCUGGGCUACACGCGGGCUACAAUGGGUGGGACAAUGGGUAUCGACACCGAAAGGUGAAGGCAAUCUCCUAAACCCAUCCUUAGUUCGGAUUGUGGGU